CUCUCCUGAAUAAUUGUUUUAGCACAUUCCUUUUUACUGCCUAACCACUCAAAUCUAGAGCCGAUGAAAUGGCCGGUCCGCGCUCACGGAUUGAAGAGCAGAUUGAAAAUGGAGUCUCCUCAACCUCAGACACGUGAGUGGCGCUGCAUGCUGGGAAAGCUGGAGGAGAUAGAGGAAGAUAAUACGCCUGCAUGGAUUCCCCAGAGUGAAUGAGACCAUCCAGAAUAAGCUGGUGUCUCAGUGAAAGUCACAAGGCAGAAGGGAAGUCGCCCUCUGAGCUGAGACUUGGCGUGACGGACAGACGGGGAAUGCAGCAAAGCCUGAAUCAUCAAACUGUCCAGUGUUGCGUAACCGCAUGCCACAUGAUCGUGAACCCGUGAACUAUUGUUUUGAGGAAGAAUAAAAUAAAAUAAAGUCAGAAUCACCUUUAUUGGCCAUGUUUGUGCGUACAUACACGGAAUUUGACUUACAUGUACGCUCUCGUCGUACAUACAUGGAAUAUUUUUAAAAAACGUUGAAGGCAACGGAGUAGCAAGAUGUAUGUACAGUAUAAAAACAACAACAACAAGUGACAAUGAAUUGGGGAUGUUGCAAUCGUGCAGAUGGGUGUGUCUGAUGAAGUGUUCAUCAGAUUGUGGAAAGAAGCUGUUUUCCUGUGUCUGGUGGUGAAAUGAAACAUUCAACUUUAACAAGUCUUUCCAGUCUUUAUUUCUUUCUUCAAAGUCAUUUCUGUUCCACUCAUCUCAGCCGUUUUAAACGCUGUCCGUUCCCCGGACUGCAGAGGUGUGUCGAUACUUGGGAAUGUCUCUCCAUCUGCUGGGCGGCCAUGGGAAUAGCAGCCGGACCGGUGUUCUGCAUGGGGCCAGUGUUUAUGUGUAGUCAGGUGAACAUGAUCAAAUGAUUCAUAAGCUUGGACAAUAUUUAUUUUUUUCAAAUUGAAGGAAUGUGAGUUUAUGUUGGAAUCAGUGACAACAAAUAAAUAUAUA